UGCAAGUCGAACGAGAUCUUCGGGUCUAGUGGCGCACGGGUGCGUAACGCGUGGGAAUCUGCCCUUUGGUUCGGAAUAACAGUUGGAAACGACAGCUAAUACCGGAUGAUGACGAAAGUCCAAAGAUUUAUCGCCAGAGGAUGAGCCCGCGUAGGAUUAGCUAGUUGGUGUGGUAAAGGCGCACCAAGGCGACGAUCCUUAGCUGGUCUGAGAGGAUGAUCAGCCACACUGGGACUGAGACACGGCCCAGACUCCUACGGGAGGCAGCAGUGGGGAAUAUUGGACAAUGGGCGAAAGCCUGAUCCAGCAAUGCCGCGUGAGUGAUGAAGGCCUUAGGGUUGUAAAGCUCUUUUACCCGGGAUGAUAAUGACAGUACCGGGAGAAUAAGCUCCGGCUAACUCCGUGCCAGCAGCCGCGGUAAUACGGAGGGAGCUAGCGUUGUUCGGAAUUACUGGGCGUAAAGCGCACGUAGGCGGCUUUGUAAGUUAGAGGUGAAAGCCUGGAGCUCAACUCCAGAACUGCCUUUAAGACUGCAUCGCUUGAAUCCAGGAGAGGUGAGUGGAAUUCCGAGUGUAGAGGUGAAAUUCGUAGAUAUUCGGAAGAACACCAGUGGCGAAGGCGGCUCACUG
rnacentral:rRNA from 1 species